rnacentral:piRNA from 1 species
UUCUUGUGGUUUCCUGGUGACAGAGAUGAA